UUCCGGUUGAUCCCGCCGGAGGCCACUGCUAUCGGGGUCCGACUAAGCCAUGCGAGUCAAGGGGGUGUCCCUCUGGGACACCACCGGCGGACGGCUCAGUAACACGUCGGUAACCUACCCUCGGGAGGGGGAUAACCCCGGGAAACUGGGGCUAAUCCCCCAUAGGCCUGAGGUACUGGAAGGUCCUCAGGCCGAAAGGGGCUUUUGCCCGCCCGAGGAUGGGCCGGCGGCCGAUUAGGUAGUUGGUGGGGUAACGGCCCACCAAGCCGAAGAUCGGUACGGGCUGUGAGAGCAGGAGCCCGGAGAUGGACACUGAGACACGGGUCCAGGCCCUACGGGGCGCAGCAGGCGCGGAACCUCCGCAAUGCGGGAAACCGCGACGGGGGGACCCCGAGUGCCGUGGCACCGCCACGGCUUUUCCGGAGUGUAAAAAGCUCCGGGAAUAAGGGCUGGGCAAGGCCGGUGGCAGCCGCCGCGGUAAUACCGGCGGCCCGAGUGGUGGCCGCUAUUAUUGGGCCUAAAGCGUCCGUAGCCGGGCCCGUAAGUCCCUGGCGAAAUCCCACGGCUCAACCGUGGGGCUUGCUGGGGAUACUGCGGGCCUUGGGACCGGGAGAGGCGGGGGGUACCCCUGGGGUAGGGGUGAAAUCCUAUAAUCCCAGGGGGACCGCCAGUGGCGAAGGCGCCCCGCUGGAACGGGUCCGACGGUGAGGGACGAAGGCCAGGGGAGCAAACCGGAUUAGAUACCCCGGUAGUCCUGGC
rnacentral:rRNA from 1 species